rnacentral:misc_RNA from 1 species
CCGUCAAUUCAUUUGAGUUUCAACCUUGCGGCCGUACUCCCCAGGCGGUCAACUUCACGCGUUAGCUUCGUUACUGAGUCAGAAGAGACCCAACAACCAGUUGACAUCGUUUAGGGCGUGGACUACCAGGGUAUCUAAUCCUGUUUGCUCCCCACGCUUUCGUGCAUGAGCGUCAGUGCAGGCCCAGGGGAUUGCCUUCGCCAUCGGUGUUCCUCCGCAUAUCUACGCAUUUCACUGCUACACGUGGAACUCCACCCCCCUCUGCCAUACUCUAGCCGUGCAGUCACAAGCGCAGUUCCCAGGUUAAGCCCGGGGAUUUCACACCUGUCUUACACAACCGCCUGCGCACGCUUUACGCCCAGUAAUUCCGAUUAACGCUCGCACCCUACGUAUUACCGCG